UCCACUGAAGUGUGAGGAGUAGAGCUGCAUUAAUGCAGUAGUGUCCCUUACACUGCUUAUUUAAUUAGAAGAGCGUAUAACAUUAACAUGAUUAAUCCCAUGGAUGAAAACAGUGCAGUAGAAAAAUCUACAGUGAACAGGAAAUAUUAAUGACUGAUCUGCCAAGUUCACAAUAGCCAAGUUUCCAACCAAAUGUAACACAACUUUUAAAUUUCUAUCUGCAAAAGAAAAUGCUAAUUAAUGCGCCUUUCCAUCCACUGCAGUUGGUGGCAUUGUUCUCUAGUUUACUCUAGCGUUGCAGUAGAAGAGGGGCAAGAAGAUGACGUACUGUAAGGCGUCAAACUUCAAAUGAACAAAAACCAUGUUGGAAACGCGACAGAAAUAUAGCAUUUCUGCCGCUGUUUUCUGUCUUCAAUGUAAGCUUAUCACUUACACGUCAUGGUUUAUUCACUUAGUCUGUUUCCAUUGACCAUUGCACUUAUUGAUAUGUGGUUAACAUAAAUAAAUGUAAAAUGAACAAAUUGAUUAAUACAUUUUGCUCAGGAAAACUUUAUAAAUCACAAUUCCAUUUAAAUCCUAAUUUUUAAUGGUUAUAAUCAUAUAUUUAUAUACAUCAUUUUUAGUAAUUAUUGCAGGAUGAGAUGUUGCUGCAAAGCUCCCCAACCAGUAGAGGUGAUAAAAUCCUUGAUCAGGAAUAAAAUAUAAGCCAUAAUAGCUUUAGUAUGAAAUGUGAAGAAAUUAGGUUUUGUAGUGUGUGUGUGUGUGUGUGUGUGUAAGUUGUUUUUCAGAGUGUAGAAUAUUUGAAAGCACCACUUGCAGAUUUUGUUUAAUUUGCUUACACUACGAUUCUACUGCAACUAAAAAUUCCCGUUCCGGUUUGCAAAAUUCUGAUAUUUUGUGCAUUAAAUAAAUAAAUGAAUGUAAUUUUUUUAAAUGAUUAACUGCACAGAAUCACUGUUUUGGUCGGCGUUGGUUACUGUGGGAGCUGCAGUUCCUUCUGUCUUUCUCCGUCGGCCUCCUAAGUAAAUUGAAAACGCCACUAGCGGUCGUUUAUCCUCUUAGUGAAAUGAGGCAGGGCAAAAAAAAUCAUCAGUAUGGCUGCUGGUGCUUCCUGUGACAUUAGGGCUACAACACACACACACACACACACACACACACACACACACACACACACACACACACACACACACACACACACACACACACACACACACACACACACUUUCUCAGACACACAGACACACACAGUAGACCCUAGCAACCGCCUCCUGUUGUUUCCUGACAAACUGCAUUGUGAUUGUGAAUAUGUUAGCAUAUUAAGAUGAGAUUUUACUAUAGUUAUGCACCCUGACUUUUUCAUUGGAUCAUUCUGAAGAAAUGAAACGCUGAAGAAAUGCACCAAUUUACACUUUAGCACAAUAUCAGAGUUAUACUACACUUUGGUAAUGUGUAUCUUUAUGCAGUGAUUUCUGUUUCUGUAUAAGCAUUAAGACCAGAAUGUGUUUUUCCAUUUUAUUGUAUUCAGGCAUUUAGAAACCUGACAUGUACUUUGGUCAGUGCAAAUGUAAAUAAUCCUAACUGAAAAAUUAAUUGAAAUAAACUACUUUGGUACU